rnacentral:misc_RNA from 1 species
AAACCAUCUUAAUUGGCUUGAUCUUCAAGUUGCAUGGUAGAAGGUGAGUCAUGGUUUCUUGGGUUUGGGUGUAAAAUAACAGGGAGAUCAUGCUUCAUCAGGUGGUGUAGAGGAUGAGAGAACCCGAGCGUUCAAUUGUUGCCGACCUGUCCAAUACUGUUGCCUCCCCCUCUGGUUACAAAAGAGAAUGAGAUGCCAAAAGGACUUUCUCUCUUGCUUCUCUAUUCUACUCCUUUGUGCGAUUCGUUUAUCCACGGUGGUCUACUAACUCUGUUUGGUUUGGAGCCUACAUUUUCAUUUUUACCCUGUCUGGGAUUUGAUGUACUAGGGUACUCUUCUCUUAGGCUUUGUGCUAUGCGAGGACCUAGAUUUGUUCUUCAAAUUGUAUCCUCUCACUACCGCCAGUGAAUGGUUGGCAUAGUGGCGUUUUUUUUUCCAGCUAUACUUUG